UCCCACUCAGCCAAUUCUGGGAGACGAACCCUGGCGGUUUGUACUCUUCCUUUCCAAUGAGAAAAAAAGGAAGCAGCUUGGCCCCAAUAACCAAUCCAAGGAGGCGGCGCCUGGUUGUCAGGCAGGUUUGUAAGAGUUUGGGCCAAUUGGAGGCGCAGACACCGCUCGACCCGGGCGCAGCGCGCAGGCGGUGGCGAAGAGACGCCGAGCGGGCCGAGUGCGGCCGAGCAAAGCCGGAGCCGGAGCGGGGCCGCAGGAGCCGGGCUGGGUCCGGACGGGCCGAGAUGCCCUAUAAACUGAAGAAGGAGAAGGAGACCCCCAAGCUUGCCAAAGGCACGACCAAGCCCAGCAGCUCGGGCAAGGAUGGUGGUGGCGAGAGCGCCGAGGAGGUAAUGAAAGUGGGCACGGCUCUAGUUACGGUGCAGGCACCAGCUCGAACUGCUCGACGGCUAGUGGGGUGAGGGAUCCCAGGGGGCCAGAUGUGAUCCAGGCAGAAGGGAAGGGGCCUUCCACAGCCUGGGAGGAGCUUGGACAGCCCAGCCAGGUAGCUGCCUUCAGUCAGGCAGCCUGUCCCUUCAGCUGGUAUAGAGCGACUAUGCUCUGCAGUUCUUCAGACUCCCCAGCAAUUCUUCUGAAAGUUAUUUGUCUGCCAACCUUGCGUGGUAAGAAUUCCUUUUUCCUUAGAAUGAAAAGCUAGGGGUAGCGGGUGCUGGGGGGGAAGGGAAAAAGUACAAGGGUGCUCAGUGGGGAAUGAGUGGCUUUGGCAUGGCUUGGGGUGGGGAAGGGGUGGGAGUGGCUGGUGUCCUUGAGCUGGCCAGGGCUGGGCCCACUGCCCUUGGUUCUGAUCCAAUGGGAACCUGCUAAAGGACAGUGAUGAGCAGAGGUCAGCACAGCUUGGAAGUCUAGGGCUGUAAAGCAAUAAAUGGCAAGCAGAGAGAGCACUGGAGGGUGGAGAGACUUAAGUCCAGAGUAUGUCCAGGAGAGUUUGGGAGUGUGCUCAAUGCGAUGCUCAAGAUGGUGGCCGGUCCUGUGAACAUGUUGAGCAAGUAAGUACCCAUCUUACUCAGAAACUGGUGAUCCUUGGUUUUUCUGCUUUUUUGUUUGUUUGUUUGUUUGUUUAUUUUGAGAGGGAGAGAGCGUGAGCGUGUGAGUGAGCGGGGGAGGGGCAGAGAGAGAGAGGGAGAGAGAGAAUCCCAAGCAGGCUCCAUGCGGUCACUGUGGAGGGGCUCAAUCUCAUGAACCGUGAGAUCAUGACCUGAGCCGAAAUCAAGAGUCAGACACUUAACUGGCUGAGCCACCCAGGCGCCCCUCUGCUUCUUCUCUCCUGUUCUCAACUGUUUAGAGCCAUAGAGGACAACAGGAAACAUCUCUGUGAUUAUGGGCAGGGCUUGUGGAUUUGAGGGGGAGAAGAAAUCAAUUAGCAAGUAUUGGAGUUAAUCCUGGAUUUAGACUUUUCUAUGUACUUCUGGUCCCUGUCACCUCAGCACUUCCCACACCCCUGACCUUCAUUUUAGGCCUCACUUGAGUAAUCAGAAGAAGCAGGGCAGGUGUUCCUCAUUUUACAGACAUGGGAGUUGAGGACCACAGAAGAUGAAUUCCUCCUUCCUUUGCCCUUAAACAGUAAUUUGAACAUGUCUCCAGGAUAGACCUUAUCACUUUUUGUUGUAACUAUUUUUCCAACGUGGGUUUCUCUCCACCAGACUGUGGACUCUGAGGGAGGGGAGCUGGGUAUGCUGCUUGAAGGCAGCCGGCACCUUGUUUCUUCCCCACGUCUGUAUGCUUGUGUAUUUUGUUCUUUGGGCGGAGGGGAGGGGAGAGGGCAGGGCGGGCAUUUUUAUUUUAUUUUUUGUUUUUUUAAGUAAUCUCUACGCCCAGUGUGGGGCUUGAACUCACAACCCUCAGGUCAAGAGUCACCUGCUUCACCAACUGAGCCAGCCAGGUGCCCCUUAUGCACUUGGUUCUUAAUAACUCAUCAGUCAGCGCUCCUGGGAAACACUCCCUCUGGGCCCAGUCUCCCCUUUAGGAAUGGUGACAUCUGUGGGACCCACAGGGAAGGUGGCUGGGAGCUGGCAACUGACAUUCAAAGCAGCAAGAGAGACAUAGAAACGGGAUUUAAAGGGACAGAAAGGAAUAGUUAGGGGGCUGUUCUCAUCUUUUGCCUAACUCCUACUUGUUCAGUUACUAGAUAGAUUGGAUGUCUUGUCCUAAAAGCAGCCUUCCUUGACUGCCUCCCCCUCCCUCCCCACCAGGACAUGGUCAGGGCUCCGGCUAUUUGCUCUGUUAGCUCCAGUAUCGCCCCACAGCAGCAUUUACACGGCUGUAAUUAAACAAUUUGGUGUGAAUUCAUUGUUUAUCCAUUUUAACUUUUGUGUUAUUAGCACGUGAGUGAGCUCCUUGAGGUUUCCCUUUGCUUCCCUUUGAGCCGCCCAAGGGCUUGGCACAUUACAGGUGCCAGGAUUUGAAUGCAUUAGUGGCUAAAUAAGUAAACCUAAGUGUUGGAAGUAACCUUGGAGUCUAACCCUCUCCUUUCCCAGAUAGGAAAAUGAAAGCUCAAACAAGUUAGGAAAUAGGCUGAGACCAACUGCUAGGAUUUCUCCACUGUCUUUGUGGACACAUCUAUUUGAAAAAGGAGAGUGUUGAGUUCACCUGGGGCUCUGUUUUGUGAAAUGGUGCUCAGGGCUCACCUGUACGAGGCAGAUGCAGAAAUGCUGCAUGAUUUUCCAGACAUGUACCCAUGUGGCCCCAGACAGAGGGACGGUGGAAAAGUUGGGGGCCAGGCUAUGAGGCUCAGGUCAUCCAAAGCUGUUUGGCACAGUCCUUCCCUUGCUGUUUUUCUAGUCCAGAAUUUGGGGCUCUUCUAGCCAAAUUUACCCUGUGUCAUGCAUUUGCCAGAGCCUUUCCAAUUGAUCUAAUAAUUCCGGCAGCCACCAUUUAGUUUAUUGAGCAGUUACUUGUGUGUUAGGUUCCUAGGGCAGCCAUAACAAAUGACCACAAACUGAAUGGCUUAAAAUAACAGAGAUUUAUUCUCUUACAGUCCUGGUGGCCAGAAAUCUGAAAUCGAGGCAUCAGUAGGCCAUGUCCCUCUGAGGUUCUAGGCAAGAAACUCUUCUGUACCUCUCCCUAGAUUCUGGUGGUUUUUAACAGUCCUCAGUGUUCCUUGGCUUAUGGAUGCAUCACUCCAGUCUCCUCCUCCACCUUCACCUUCACAUGGGGUUCUGCCCUGUGUGUCUCUGUGUUCACAUUUUCUUCCUUCCUCUUUUUUUGUUUUUGUUUAAUUUAUUUUUGAGAGAGAGAGACAGAGUAUGAGCGGGGGAGGGGCAGAGAGAAAGGGAGACCGAAUCCGAAACAGGCUCCAGGUUCCGAGCUGUGAGCUGUCAGCUCAGAGCCGGACAUGGGGCUUGGACUCGUGAGCCCUGAGAUCAUGACCUGAGCCGAAGUCAGAUGCUUAACUCACUGAGCCACCCAGGCGCCCCGUGUCCACAUUUUCUUCUUAUGAAGACACUAGUCACAUUGGAUUUAGGGCCCACCCCAACUUGUUUAUAUCUACAAAGACCCUAUUUCCAAGUUACGUCACGUUCACAGACGUUGGGUUGACACUGUUCAACUUCCCAGGUGCUGUCUUAAGACCUUUGCUUGCAUUUAACCUUUUAAUCUCAUUUAAUCUUCACAACACUCCCCUGAGGUCAUUCUGUUAUCAGUCAUCAUCCCCAUUUUACAGAUGAAACUGAGGCUUAGUGACGUUAAAUAGCUCUUACUCAGCUGGUAAACAGCAGAGCUGGAAUUCAACCCAGUGUGCUGUGGCUCACGAGCCGAUUCUGUGUGUUUUUGUUUUUGUUUUUUGUUUAGACUUCAUUAUUUAUUUUUAAAGUAGACUUCACACCCAGCGUGGAGCCCAGUGUGGCCUUGAACUCACAACCCUGACUGACAUCAAGACCUGAGCUGAGAUCAAGAGUUGGGAGCUUAACCGACUGAACCACCCAGGCACCCCUCCUGUGUUCUUAAUGACGUGAUACCCUGUGUCUAAGAUUCUGGAAGAGUCUUAGAACGGAAAGGAGCCUUGAGAGAUUGGAUAAGACUCACUGUUGACCUAUCGCUGCAGGCAAGGGUCUUUCCUGCUCUGUCUCUGGAGACAGCAGUUCACUGCCCUGGACUCCACUCGGUGGUGUGCCCUGUCCUGAGUUCUGGGAGCAGGGACAGAGGGAGGAAGAAACUAUCUUAGUCCCUCCAUGUCAGCCUGUCCUCCCAGUAGCCAAAAUUGUUGCCCUAAAAACAUUCUUCUGUCUUAUCAGUCCUCUACUUAAAAAGCUCUGUUGGUUUGGGGCGCCUGGGUGGCUCAGUCCAUUAAGUGUCCGACUCCGGCUCAGGUCAUGAUCUCAUGUUUCAUGAGUUUGAGCCCUGCAUCCGGCUCUGUGCUGACAGCUGAGAGCCUGAAGCCUGCUUCGGGUUCUGUGUCUCCCUUUCUCUGCCCCUCCCCCACUCAUGCUCUGUCUCUCUCAAAAAUAAAUAAAACGUUAAAAAAAUAAAAAGAAAAAGCUCUGUUGGCAUCUCAUUGCUUUUAAGUUAACAUUCAAAUUCACACUCUGGACCCCUCUGAGGGGGCCCUGCCUCAUUUUUCUAGCACCCAUCCUGGUUUCUCCCUCUGCUGGACUUCCCAUCUCCUGAUACAAGCCCUUUUGUAACUCUGGGUCCUUAUUGAUGAAAUUCCAUUGGCAUGGACUACUUUAUUUUCCUGCUUUGUUCCUUUUUUUUUUUUUUUAAUGUUUAUUUUUGAGAGAGAGACAGAGUGUGAGCGGGGGAAAGGCAGAGAGAGAGGGAGACACAGAAUCCGAAGCAGGCUGCAGGCUCUGAGCUGUCAGCACAGAGCCCGAUGCGGGGCUCAAAUCCACGAACUGUGAGAUCAUGACCUGAGCCGAAGUAGGAGGCUCAACCGACUGAGUCACCCUGGAGCCCCCCCCCCCCCCGCUGAUUUGUUCUUUUGCCCGCUGAGCUCAUGUUUGUCCUUUGAGAGCAAAUCAAAAGUCACCUCUUCAGGAACAGUUUCACUCAUUCUUCUGGCAGAGUUUGUGUUCCCGUAUCCUUGGUGGCACUCUGUUUUUUCAUUUCCCUGGUACCAAGAGCUGUCCGUGUGUUGGUCUCACCCACUGGACUGUGAGCUCUUUGAGGGCAGGGGCUACCCUUUAAUCUCUAAGGCUUAGCAUGAUGGCCAUUGAAUAAAUGAAGGAAGGAAAUAAUUUAGCUCAGCUAGAUAGAGCUCUAGGUGUCAGGAUAGGAGAGAAUGCCUCUGCGAUUUUUUGGGGUUUUAAACUAAAAUGAUCUUUAUUUGACUAGGUGAUUGAUUAUGCAAAAGCUGUGACAUUGUGAGUUUUUCACUGUUUUACCUUUCAUCUUUUUCUGACAACACUUUUUAAAAAUUAAAAAAAAAAAUGUUUAUUUAUUUAGAGAGGGAGAUAGAAAGUGCAUGUGUGAGCAGGGGAGGGGCAGAGAGAUAAGGGAGAGAGAGGAUCCCAAGCAGGCUGCACGCUGCCAGCGCAGAGCCCGACAUGGGGCUUGAACCCAUGAAUGUGAGAUCAUGACCUGAGCUGAAAACAAGAGUUGGACGCUUAACUGACCCAGGUGCCCCAAUACGUCUCUCUUUCUCUUUCUUUUUUCUUUCUUUCUUUCUUUCUUUCUUUCUUUCUUUCUUUCUCUCUCUCUCUCUCUCUCUCUCUCUCUCUCUCUCUCUCUCUUUCAAGCUAGCUCUACACCCAAUGUGGGACUUCAACUCAGGACCCUGAGAUCAAGAGUCUCAUGCUCUACCAACCGAACUAGCCAGGUGCCCCUUUACAAUACUUUCUAUAGUACUUAAUUUAUAUUUCUUUUUUUUCUUUAAUUUAAUUUAAUUUUUAAAAACAUGUCUUGAGAGAGAGCUGGUGUGAGUGGGAGGAAGGGUGGAGAGAGAGAAUUCCAAGUAACAAUAACAGUGCAGGGCUCAAUCCCAUGAACCGUGAGAUCAUGACCUGAGCCCAAACAAGAGUUGGAUGCCCAUUUCAGCCUCUCAGUCGCCCCCUUAAUUUAUAUUUCUAUCUGUUAUUUUAGGUUUAAAUAUUUGGGUUUGAUUAUUAAUGGUGAUUGUGUUAGGAUGAAAUUGGACUAGGGUUGGUUCAGAGUGGGCAAGUUUAGUUGCAGUCUCUUGAGUGCGAGUGUGGUGCAUAAAUUCCAAGUACCACUUGACUGCUGGAGACCCAAAUCUAGGAAGGCUUCUUGGAGGUGGGAGGAGAAGGCACUUCAGGCAGAGGAAAUGGCCAGGUUGGCUGGGUUGCCUUCGGUCAGCGUUCACCAGUGAUGGUGAUAGUUGCGGAAGGUUCCCCAGGGGACUCACCUGCCUCCCACCUGCAGCUCAGGUCAGUAGAAAAGUUAAAAGCUGAAGCUUUUACUGGGUGCCUGGCUGGCUCAGUCGGGGGAGCAUGUGACUCUUGAUCUCGAGAUUAUAAAUUCGAGCCCAAAGUUGGGUGUAGAGAUUACUAAAAGAUAAAAUCUUUA